UUCCGGUUGAUCCUGCCGGACCCGACUGCUAUCAGAGUGGGACUAAGCCAUGCGAGUCGACGUAGCAAUGCGUGGCAUACGGCUCAGUAACACGUAGUCAACAUGCCCAGGGGACGUGGAUAACCUCGGGAAACUGAGGAUAAACCGCGAUAAGUCACUACUUCUGGAAUGGGUAAUGACUCAAAUCUACAUGGCCCCUGGAUUGGACUGCGGCCGAUCAGGCUGUUGGUGAGGUAAUGGCCCACCAAACCUGUAACCGGUACGGGCUCUGAGAGGAGGAGCCCGGAGAUGGGCACUGAGACAAGGGCCCAGGCCCUAUGGGGCGCAGCAGGCGCGAAACCUCUGCAAUAGGCGAAAGCCUGACAGGGUUACUCUGAGUGAUUUCCGUUAAGGAGAUCUUUUGGCACCUCUAAAAAUGGUGCAGAAUAAGGGGUGGGCAAGUCUGGUGUCAGCCGCCGCGGUAAUACCAGCACCCCGAGUGGUCGGGACGUUUAUUGGGCCUAAAGCAUCCGUAGCCGGUUCUACAAGUCUUCCGUUAAAUCCACCUGCUUAACAGAUGGGCUGCGGAAGAUACUAUAGAGCUAGGAGGCGGGAGAGGCAAGCGGUACUCGAUGGGUAGGGGUAAAAUCCGUUGAUCCAUUGAAGACCACCAGUGGCGAAGGCGGCUUGCCAGAACGCGCUCGACGGUGAGGGAUGAAAGCUGGGGGAGCAAACCGGAUUAGAUACCCGGGUAGUCCCAG
rnacentral:rRNA from 1 species